UGUAAAUGAAAAUGUGCACGUGAGUGGGCAAGGUACGGUAUGUGAAAUGAUAAUAUGAAGUGCAUGUGUGCAAGUGAUGAUAAGAGUGUUCGUGUGCAAGUGAAGAAACAUAAAGGUGCACGUGUGCAAAAUGGGAGGAAAAAUGAAAGUGUGAUGAGGGUAUAAAAUGGUAGAGUGGAUUUAAAAAUGCAUGAGCCUAGGGAAUUCAUGCAUAUUGGGUACGGGGAGACCUAAAUCGUGACUCAAUUUGCCCUUUUAUAGAGGGAAUACAAGCGUGCUAAGGCUUAGAAAAAGCCACACUCGUCUAUAUCCCAUAUUUAAGGGGACUCUCAAGCAAAUGAACCCUAUAACUAGC
rnacentral:lncRNA from 1 species